UAGUUUGGUGUUAUCAUUCCAAAAUAUCCAGCAAUGUUCAAGCUCUGGGAAUAGUAGCAUCAGUGCUGGUGGCCAAAAGAAGAAUAAAAAAGCAAUCCCAUGGCACACUAAAUAUUGAAAACAGAGGCAGAACAAUCAAAAUUUUGGUGACUUGGUCAUCUAGUUUGGUGUUAUCAUUCUAAAAUAUCCAGCAAUGUUCAAGCUCUGGAAAUAGUAGCAUCAGUGCUGGUAGCCAAAAAAAGAAUAAAAGUGCAAUCCCAUGGCACACUAAAUAUUGAAAACAUAGGCAGAACAAUCAAAAUUUUAUAAAAUGAUCUCCACAAAACAUCGAUAAAACAUCUUAGCAUCCAGGGUAUUAAUUGAACAUGAAGAGAACUACUUGAUGAACAGAACUAAAACUGCUCCUCUCCUUGACUCACUCUUCCUCAACUACAGUUCCCUUCUCACUCACAUAGAUCCCAUCAAGAAAUUUGCGGAUAUCCUUGUUCUUCACAUGACAUUUCUGUUGAAUGAAAAAUCCUGGUCAGCAAAUAAAGAGAAAUGGAAGUUGCAGGGCAUGCAUGAUUCAUUUACAGAAUAAGGUACUCUUAAGUUUUUCAAACAAAAUUGUAAAUUCAG
rnacentral:lncRNA from 1 species